UUCUCCUUUCGGGAUCUACUGUCUACUCGC
rnacentral:piRNA from 1 species